ACGAACGCUGGCGGCAUGCCUAACACAUGCAAGUCGAACGAGACCUUCGGGUCUAGUGGCGCACGGGUGCGUAACGCGUGGGAACCUGCCCUUAGGUUCGGAAUAACUCCCCGAAAGGGGUGCUAAUACCGGAUAAUGUCUUCGGACCAAAGAUUUAUCGCCUUUGGAUGGGCCCGCGUUGGAUUAGCUAGUUGGUAGGGUAAAAGCCUACCAAGGCGACGAUCCAUAGCUGGUCUGAGAGGAUGAUCAGCCACACUGGGACUGAGACACGGCCCAGACUCCUACGGGAGGCAGCAGUGGGGAAUAUUGGACAAUGGGCGAAAGCCUGAUCCAGCAAUGCCGCGUGAGUGAUGAAGGCCUUAGGGUUGUAAAGCUCUUUUACCCGGGAUGAUAAUGACAGUACCGAGAGAAUAAGCUCCGGCUAACUCCGUG
rnacentral:rRNA from 1 species